CAGGGUAUUACGGUACAGAGUCAAUGUGGAGGCUAUAUACAGGGGGGUACCGGUACAGAGUCAAUGUGGAGGCUAUAUACAGGGGGGUGCCGGUACAGAGUCAAUGUGGAGGCUAUAUACAGGGGGUUCCGGUACAGAGUCAAUGUGGAGGCUAUAUACAGGGUAUUACGGUACAGAGUCAAUGUGGAGGCUAUAUACAGGGGGUACCGGUACAGAGUCAAUGUGGAGGCUAUAUACAGGGGGUACCGGUACAGAGUCAAUGUGGAGGCUAUAUACAGGGGGGUACCGGUACAGAGUCAAUGUGGAGGCUAUAUACAGGGUGGUACCGGUACAGAGUCAAUGUGGAGGCUAUAUACAGGGUGUUACGGUACAGAGUCAAUGUGGAGGCUAUAUACAGGGGGUACCGGUACAGAGUCAAUGUGGAGGCUAUAUACAGGGGGUACCGGUACAGAGUCAAUGUGGAGGCUAUAUACAGGUGGUACCGGUACAGAGUCAAUGUGGAGGCUAUAUACAGGGGGUUACCGGUACAGAGUCAAUGUGGAGGCUAUAUACAGGGGGUACCGGUACAGAGUCAAUGUGGAGGCUAUAUACAGGAG
rnacentral:lncRNA from 1 species